AGAUUGAACGCUGGCGGCAUGCCUUACACAUGCAAGUCGAACGGCAGCACGGGAGCAAUCCUGGUGGCGAGUGGCGAACGGGUGAGUAAUACAUCGGAACGUGCCCAGUAGUGGGGGAUAACCCGGCGAAAGCCGGACUAAUACCGCAUACGACCUACGGGUGAAAGCAGGGGAUCGCAAGACCUUGCGCUAUCGGAGCGGCCGAUGUCAGAUUAGCUUGGUUGGACGGGGUAAAACGCCCAACCGAAGGCGACGAUCUGUAGCUGGUCUGAGAGGACGACCACGCCACACGUGGGACUGAGACACCGGCCCAGACUCCGUACGGGAGGCAGCGAGGUAGGGGUAAUUUUGGAC
rnacentral:rRNA from 1 species